CCUACGGGGGGCAGCAGUGGGGAAUAUUGCGCAAUGGGCGAAAGCCUGACGCAGCGACGCCGCGUGAGGGAUGAAGGUCUUCGGAUCGUAAACCUCUGUCAGCAGGGAAGAACGGUCACUGUGCUAAUCAGCAGUGAAUUGACGGUACCUGCAAAGGACGCACCGGCGAACUCCGUGCCAGCAGCCGCGGUAAUACGGAGGGUGCGAGCGUUAAUCGGAAUUACUGGGCGUAAAGCGCUCGUAGGCGGUAUGUCAAGUCUAGGGUGAAAUCCCCGGGCUCAACGUGGGAACUGCCUUUGAAACUGGCAAACUGGAGUGUGUGGGAGGAUAGUGGAAGUCGAGGUGUAGGAGUGAAAUGCGUAGAUAUCUGGAGGAACAUCAGUGGCGAAGGCGACUAUCUGGCACAUAACUGACGCUGAGGAGCGAAAGCGUGGGUAGCAAACAGGAUUAGAUACCCCUGUAGUC
rnacentral:rRNA from 1 species